CAUGCUUUAUUAUACAGCAAGAAAUAUUUGAUCUCUAGCACAAAGGCAGAUUAGGGUCCAUCACCCCAUCCCUUUCCCCCUUGCCAUCUGUAUUGCAGACAAUCUUGCCUCCUAGUAUUCCAAUUAUCUUUUGCACAUUUAUGAGAUAAUUUCCAGAUAAUAUCACCAAUUUUCUUUAUGCAUUCAUUUUUCCCCCUCUUCUGCUUUUUCUCAUCACUUGUGUAACAAUUAGUGGGCACAUCUACAGUCACUGAUUAACUUUUCUCUGCUUCUAUGUACUAUAUCUGAUAUUUGACACCUAAAUCUUAUCCUCACAGAAACCGGUGAAAUGGAUCCUACUGAGAAGUGCUGGAAGCUGGUAGGGAUGGAGUUGAGAAACUUCUCAGCCUCUGAGUUCUUUCUGCUUUCUUUCCUAGACUCAAAGCAUGAAUGGCACCAGGAGUGAUUCUGCAGUACUUUUAAGGGGAAUGGUAUGUGGCAGUGGCAGUAUCCAAAUGGAUUUUCCACUCUCAUGCCUCAGAUAUGUGUGUGGCUCAGAAUGGCUCACCUGGGGUCAUAUGUCUGGGACUUCCCGUUUCUCUUUCAGGUGGGUUUAUCAGUUUUUCUCCAGUAGUCUCAGAGUUUCUGCCCCUUUAUCUUAUCUUUACACAUGGACUCAGUAUGUAGUCUCUCGAGCAGGGUAGCCAUACUUCUUAUAUGGAAGCUGGGACUCCCAGAAAUUCAAACGUAGGAGCUCCUAGGGGCUGGUCCAGUGGCAUAGUAGUUAAAUUCUCACACUACUUUGGUGGCCUAGGAUUUGUGGGUCUGGAUCCCAGGUGUGGACCUACACGCUGCUCAUCAAGCCAUACUGUGGUGGCAUCCAUGUACAAAAUAGAGAAAGAUUGGCUCAGGUGUUAGCUCAGGGCCAAUCUUCCUCACAAAAAAAAAAAAAAAAAGAGUAAAAGCUGCUAGGCCUCAAAUUGGGACAGCAUCGCUUCCAGUGUAUUCUGUUGGUUAAAGCAAGUUUCAGGCCCAACCCGGAUUUAAGGAGAAGGCACUACACAAAAGUGUGAAUACCAGAAGGCAUGAUCUAUUGUGGCACGCCAAUGUAACAGAAUACAAAGUGCAAUUUUUAAACUUUUCAACUGAAGUCACAAGUGUAAAAAUAAAGUUGUAAAACAAUCAUUUGGCUCCUGCA
rnacentral:lncRNA from 1 species